UGCAGGGUAAGUAAUCGGCACGGGCGUAGGAGAAUUCUCCACGCCCGUGCUCGCAUGUUAAGGGGCUUAAAAAAACC
rnacentral:sRNA from 1 species